CACUCCGGCAAAGUUUAGGAGAUUUGCCGGCCAUCACUGAACUUUAUUUCCAGUGUUCUCCGAUGUAAACAUCUUCCGGAUUCUAAGCCCUUUUUGAAUCCGAGAAUCUUUUGACACCGAAUACCACUGAGAGAGCUCAUCCAAUCGCCUGGAUUAUCGAGUUGUAUUGAGAAUUUGCCGAAUAACGAAUCGUUAAAGUCACUUUUGCUCGAAACGCUCGGUCCCGAUUUGCAGACAAGCCUUACAAGCUUACGUUCUUUCAGGGGGCAAUUCUACAGUGGAAUGAGGACGGCCUUAGGACUACCCGGCAAUGAACAUUUUCUCGAAUUGCUGAAAGAGUGUUUAAUCCCAAGUAAAAGAGAGCAGAAUCACCUGGAACGUAGUCGAGGCCUUCAGUUACUCAAAUUUUUAUUCUCAUAUCCGGCAUAUGGAAGCACUGAUUCUACCAGCCAACAUAGAGCAUGUCAUUGAAGUACGCGAAUUGUUUUUGUUUUUUCUUAAUGAUAAUUCUGGAGUUCAAAAAUACGGCUUGAAAUGCUUGCUCGAAGCAAUGAAAUUGAGAAAAGCGUUUGCCAUACCCAAGAUCGUACUAACUCCAUCUAAAUAGGCAAAAUUCGUGUUUUCGACCCAAGAAAUUCUGAAUUCAUCAAGAGCAUUGCGACUACUGUUAUUUCAGGGGAAAAGGAAGCGGAUCAUGCAAGCGUUCUUCAACAUUUAAAUCCACGAAACAAGAUUGCUUUCCUAAUCGUCUCUUCAUCUGCAACAUGUACAAAUUUGCUCUAAGAAAUUGGAAACUCGUGGCUUAACUCGGUCCAGCUGUUUUGCUGCCUCGUUCUACAUAUUUGAGAUGAUUGAAAGUUCACGUUUAAUGGAUCAACUAAUUGUCAAGCCAACGGAGUCGAAAAACGCUUUACUUCUAACUCUCAUCGAGUUUAACAAUCUUCUUGAAAAUCGAAGAUUAAAUCGACUUGAUCUUUUCCAACACGAGUCCGUCUUGACAUUCGAGCAUCUAUUCGCUGCUCUGGUUUUCACUUGUGAAUACCAGCUUAAGGUUCAAGAUCUCUCUUCGGUCGACAGAAAUGAAAAAGAACGAUUAUAUCUAAUAUCAUUCUUAAUAUCCUGGACCUACUGGUGGCCAUACCUAAGACGGAGACCGAAAGUGAACUUUUGAAGACCCAGCUAGCAACCUACGUCAGAUUGUACGAACUAACCCGUGCAAAGUGUACACCAACCCUAUUGCUAAGACUAUGCGCCAAGCACCAAGGUCAAACAUUCGAAUUCAAAGUGAUCCAACUGCUACUUGGAGCUGGAACAAAUGUCCACGCUGUGGAUCAACACGGGUUUUCGUCCCUUGAACUGUUGUCUGAAAAGGAGCUGGAGAACUCUUAUAUGUGGGACGUGGAUUCAUAUUCUAUUCGUGCGCAUUACUUCACUUGCAUCGUCAGGAGUAUUUUGGAUGGAAGAUCUGUGGAUGAUUACGGAGAACUAUUCGGGGAAAUUGGUGCCCUAAGAUUUAUAAAAUGUAACCGCCUGCACUAUCCGAGUGAAGAAUUGAACCAACUACUCAGUGACCUUUACAAUUCUGAACUCUAAAUUCAUUUCCUCAGUCAGCAAUUGGAAAACUGGCAGAACAAUAACCGUAAUCUUCUUGAAAGCCGUGGUAUAGCCGAUCAAAAUGAUAGCAGAUACUUCGUUGCUUAAUUCUCAACCAAAUUUUGGGAAGUUUGAUAAUUCUUUGUCUGCAAAUGUUUUAUCUUUAAAGUGAAUUACUUAAAUACAGUUUUCCCAGAGCUCCCUGCUUCGUGCAACUUCUGUACCGGUAUUCAUGCAUGAGGUGCUAAGUUAUAGUAAAUAAUCUUGAUGUAUGCGCGGUUGCAUAUGAAAACGGACGAAAACAGAAACCUAAAAAUCAACGUAUUUAUUUGCGUCAUCAAUCUUUUUCGUGUGGUGGUCAUGGUUAAUAAAUUUAACCUUUUUUUCUUAAAGGUUUUAAUCCACUUUCGCAUUAAAUCAAAUUUGGGUAUGUUGUUAUAUUAAGGAUGAUGAUGGAAAGUGCUGCGACGCGAAAUUUCCGAAAGGACUAGAGGGGAAACGUGAAAUGAAGGAGCACCGACUAGCAGUCCAUAAAUUGUAACGGAUCCGAUAUCCUUUAACGCCUUUUAAUACAAAUUUUUUUUCACAGAUUUCACUUAACAACAAGCAAGUAUAAAUGGAAUAUGAAAAGGCAUCUAAUCGACGUUCAUGGAGAAACUGAGCCCGAGACUGAGACACAGUCUAAGCCAAAGCCUAAGCCUAAGGGGAGGAAGGCACUUGGCGAUGUGGCCCUUAGAAAAGCGGCCGAUAGCAACACGAAAAAAACCUUGAGUACCAGACUAAGGAGAAAGAACAGCAGUAAACACUUUGUCGGACGAAGCGGAUCCUUCAAAGAAUAAAACUAUUGCCAAUCAAAUAGCACUGCUCGGCGCUUACGAGUCCGGUGCUUACUCCAUAGCUGUUGCUACCCUUAAAGGGGCUAAACAGGAAGGGGAUGAGGUAGUAUGUGGGAUUCUGCAAGAAGGGAGAAAUUGCCAAGUAAAAUUGGAGAACGGGCUCGCAGGAAAGGAGAAAAUGAGGAUCCACAGAUGCGCUGCUAAACAGACAUUCCUGAAAACGACAACACUUCACAGGGAUAGGAGUGUCCCUACCAUUAAGCUCUUAAACCAUGCUUUAAUAAUCAAUUAAUCAUGCCAUCUCUUAAUUUGUAUUUUUUUAGACUAGAUAUCAGUGUACCUCAUCUAAUGAGUGGAGCUUUAAAAACUACUCAUCCGAUUCAAACACCCGUGCUCAUUUCCUGAGGAAGCAUUUGGAAGAAAAUGAAUCCACUGAAGAUCUUGAUAUGGAUAGAACCGCACUGGAAGACGUGAGUGACAAAAAGGCGGCCAGGAAAAACGUCUUGUUCAUAGUAUCAUUUUUAUUCUAUUAAAUCUCUGGUCUUCUUCGACUUAUGAAACGCAGCAUUGGAAUCUCUUUCCUCAAAAUCUCCUGUCGGAUAGACGACAGAGAGCGAGAGACAUCGACCUGUCGAUGGGAGAGCGGGAGUGUUCUGCCCUGUUUCUAGAAUAAAUGGAGGGUGAGAGAAGGCAGCUAAGAAAUGAGGGAGUGCAGCAUUGCCACAUAAAUUUUGGGAGAGAAACGAAUAUUUAGGUGUUUUAUCUGGCAACGCAGCGUGGAGAAGCAGGUGUGGGAAUGAUGUAUUUUCAAAGAUCAUGGAGUAAAAACAAAGGAGUAAGGUCGCUCUACUCCUUUGUUUAGUACGCGCUCACACUGUUCUUGUUUACAAUUGUUCUUACUCCAUGAUCUUUGAAAAUACAUAUGAUACUUGAAAAUACAGCCCGAAAAACGCCUAAAUAAAACAAACCCCCGAAGAGCCCUAUAGCAUGGCCUACUAAAUGGUUAAGGCCUGUAAACUUCUAUGUUGCCAUAUGACGACGAGAGAAGUUGCAAAAUGCCCUAUCCUUCUCCCGGGCAAGAGCCAAUCAGACGAAAAAUUGAGGGUUGAACUUCGCCAUCUGGCGUUCUAUACUGCUAUCUCGUUAGAAUGUAGCUGGUAACUAGAUAUACAAAGUUUUUUUAUGCUCUGCAUUCAGCAAUGGUAGCCGUGAGGUUAGCGAAGUCUGCCACCAUGCCAUGGUACGGCGUUCAAUUCUCGAUGGAGAGGGAAAUAUUUUAAUUUUUAGUUUAAAACAAAGGUUGCGUUUCACGGAGUAAUUGAAUAUAAAAAAUUUUGCGGGAAUUAUGCACAUGUAGUUUUACCCUAUUUAGUCGUUUUCCUCAAUAACUGCUAAUGAACUUAGUAAUAAAAACGCAUUUCGUGGCAUCUAACAACUUGUUAUUACGCCUUCAUUACUUAUAACGAGAUUUACAUCUUAUAACGCCAGAUGGCGAAGUUCAACCCUCAUUUUUUCUUGUGAUUGGCUAUCACAGGAGCAAGGCUAGGGAAUUUGACCAUGCCUCUCGCCUUCAUGGCAGUGGAUACAAGUCUACAGGCCUUAUCCAUUUAGUAGGCCAUGCCUAUAGACACCCAGCCGCCGCCAAAUAAAAAUGCGUUUGGUUAUGUAUGCGGCGGCGGCUGGGUUAACUAUUGCGGAAUCGACAAUAUUUAAAGCUUAAUAACUUGAUAACGAUAAUACAUACUGUAAUUGCAAUUGUAUUUUACAGUCUGAAACUUAUCUUAACUAUUUUUUUAGAAAAAUAGAAAAAAUUUAGGAAAAAUACAUAGCUAGAAACAAUGAAUUUACGAAGGGACUGACCAUACGUCCCUUGUAAACAGCUUUUACGUGACUUGACGAAAUUUUCAGCAUAGUCCUUCACGAUCACGACACUAAAACUUGGCAAUAUGAUGAAAAAAGGAUAAGGAACAUUUUUUAGCUUUAAAAAUAAUUUAUUUACGUAAAUUUAUUAGAUUAUACUGAUUUUUUCAAGGUUUACAUUUUCUGUAGCAAUUUUUUACAGUAAAUUUUAAUAUUUUU